rnacentral:rRNA from 1 species
UACGUAGGGUGCGAGCGUUGUCCGGAAUUAUUGGGCGUAAAGAGCUUGUAGGCGGUUUGUCGCGUCUGCUGUGAAAUCUCAAGGCUCAACCUUGAGCUUGCAGUGGGUACGGGCAGACUAGAGUGUGGUAGGGGAGACUGGAAUUCCUGGUGUAGCGGUGAAAUGCGCAGAUAUCAGGAGGAACACCGGUGGCGAAGGCGGGGUCUCUGGGCAGUAACUGACGCUGGAGGAGCGAAAGCGUGGGGAGCGAACAGG